CUUCAGUGUCAAUACCAAGGGUGUUCCACAACGAAGCUUAACAAACUUAAUUACUGCUUCUCAGAGAUCCAGGAAAAACUUAGAAGCAAAAUAUUGUACUGUGAGAACAGAUGAUGGAAUCGUGUUUGAGGACAAGAUCUGUGAUCAUCCAAAUGAAGAUGUGCUUGAAUCCUUUCCUACAACAUCAGCCAAAGUUCAGGGCUUUUCACAUCCUUCCUUUCCAUCACCUGAUGCUCCUCUGAAACCUUCCUUUCUGUCAUUGGAGAA